GUUAACGUGUCCUGACGAGAUCCGAAGACAGACAACUCUUGCACGGUUGACUUCUUCAUUUCCUAACGCCCCCACGUACGGAAAAGCAGGAGGAUGUCACGAAAGACGUAGGAACAUCGAUCGACACAAUGAACUUGUUUAAAUCACUCGACAAACGAUGCAAAACGAAGCGUUGUUCAACUUUAGUGAUCACAGACUGAAUGUCUGGAUACAGACAAACAUUCCGUGAUUACGCUUUCACGACCUUUCAUUUCAUUAAAAACCCAAACAAAAAUUGGCUACAGCAAAAUCAGGAAGCGUGGCUAAUGAUCAUGCUUCAACCGUCAUCAAUCAGAUGUCGACUCUCCCUGUGAGUUCGUUUGCUAUUGUUUCCCAUCGGCCAAUGAGCGAAAAUGAUGGUCUCCUCUCAUGCAGAUUUAAAGGAUUUGGCCUCUUACAAGGACAAAGUGGACUUCGACGAGAACUGAGGUGCGAUAAACUUUGACGAAGCUUUGACGUGCAGAAAAGAAAGGAAAGAAAGGAGAACUGGAUAAACAAAGAGCACAUUAACUCUUGACGUUCCUUCUGACACAGUCUUGCGUCUUGCGCGGCUGGAUGUAGCCCGCCGGCGCUAAUUCUCUGGGUGUGUUCAAGCGACUCGGCGAGAUGUAAGCCUCUUACAGGAAAAACAUAUUUGUAUUUGUACCAGGUCGCACUACAUUUGAAAGAAAUGAAGUUCCCUUUGCUGAUUUCGUCCCUCGUUGUCCUCACCGUAAUUCCAAGGAUGGAUUCUAAGCCUGCGAAGUUGGUACCACUAGAUGAAGAGGGAAGUGACAACUUCUACAGUGUCUUAGCACAGGAUGAGUUUGUACCUCCUCUUCCACCAGGCAAACGUAGUGCCAACAUUAACUACAACACUGUGGACGACCAAGAUGAGUUACGUCUUCUCAUAAACAAACGCAGUGCCGACAUUAACUUCAACACCGGCGACGACUACGAUAGGUUUCCUCCUCUCCCAGGGAAACGCAGUGCCGGUAUCAACUUUAAAACUGUGGAAGACUAAGAUUAGUUUUGGUCUCUGGUGCAGCUGGCGAACGAAAGUAGGACGAUUUUACUAAAGAUUCGAACGAUUACCACAUCAUCUUAAAGCGAGAGGAUUGCAUACUACUACAGGGCAAAGUCAAGUUUUUAUUGGAUAGCUUUUACGUUUCUGCUGACCGCCGAAAGAAACACAAAAAUUUGCAUAUCUGCUUAGGUAAAACUGUGCAUACCCGAAGACGAUGGAUUCCCUAACUGUUUUUUUUUCUUAAAUACGUUUAUCCAAAGGCGUGUUAGAGCAAAACAAAAAUAAAUCGAUUGUUCGAGACUAUCCACCGACUCUAAAUAUUCUCAGAAAUGCGCAGUUGAGACAUUUGUCAAGUUUCAGUGACUUCUUUGUUUAACUGUUCCAUGAGUGUAUGAAUUUUAAAUUUCUUCAAGUUUUCAAGACGCAGGUCGAACAUCCCCUUAGAGUCUUGGUAAAUUUUUCAGUUUUUUUCAAAACUGCCAAUUUAUAGGAAGAUUUGAAGUUACCUGUUGAACGUCGGUAAAGAUUCUCGGUAAAGUGUUCAGAAUUACUUUAAACUCAUUCACGUAAAGGUAUUUUUGAAGCAAAAAUUUAAUUACUCGAGCCGUCAGACGGGGGUCCACCUCUUGUUUGGCGUGCGUUCAAGUUUCCCCAUUCAUCUGGCCUUAGCAGCUUCUACUGUUUUAAUAAAGUGUUCAUUUUGCAUAA